UACGUAGGAGGCGAGCGUUGUUCGGAUUUACUGGGCGUAAAGGGCGCGUAGGCGGCGCAACAAGUCACUUGUGAAAUCUCCGGGCUUAACCCGGAGCGGCCAAGUGAUACUGUCGUGCUAGAGUGCGGAAGGGGCUACUGGAAUUCUCGGUGUAGCGGUGAAAUGCGUAGAUAUCGCUUGGAACGCCAACGGUGAAAACAGGUUGCUGGGGGUGUGCUGACGCUGAGACACGAAAGCCAGGGGAGCGAACGGG
rnacentral:rRNA from 1 species